GCGGAGGUCGCCAAGCUUGGCCAACGGCGCAGCGUUGAGGGCGCUGUCCCGUAGGGGUUCGCAGGUUCAAAUCCUGCCCUCCGCA
rnacentral:tRNA from 1 species